CUUCGGUGUCACGGACAGUCGCACUCGCUUUUAGUCACUGGCGAAGUUUCCUCUGCCCGCCCGCCAACUCCCACCGCCCGCCCCGCCUCUAUUCCCCGGCCAGAAACCCAAGCACAAAAGAGUAUUUGAAGAGAGCAGCUCGGAAACGGGAGAUUGCAGUGCCAGGCCGAGAACUGAGCAGGGAUGGAGUCUCUCUCUGCUGCCAGGCUGGAGUGCAGUGGCGCGAUCUCAGCUCACUGCAACCUCUGCCUCCCGGGUUCAAGAGAUUCUGCUGCCUCAGCCUCCCGAGUAGCUGGGACUACAGGGAUGAGUGGCUGAUGCCAGAGCCCCAGCUGUUGCUUCCCAGUCUGCUGGUGAAUCCUUCAGGGUCUGAGAAUAACCUGUCUGCUAGUAAUCAGUACCCGCGUCAUCAUGUCUGAGGCUGAGAGUGAGUUCAUCAUCUGGGUAGCCACCAGUGCAACAGAAGCCAGAUGCAGUCAGCGCUUUCUACGGGUCGAGUUGCCAGAGGUCACCAGGAAUGGGCUACUUUGGAGAACUGGCCCUACUAACAUUGCUGAAUGGAUAUGCUGAUAUCAGUGGGGGUGGGAUAAUAACAUUUGUAAUACAACCUAGACCUCUUUGAAUCAAACCAAACAGUCUAUUUUGCCCAAGCCCAAAUGAGACACAGCACCUUUGUUUUUUUUGUUUGUUCGUUUUUGAGAUGGAGUUUUGCUCUUGUUGCCCAGGCUGGAGUGCAGUGGCACACUCUUGGCUCACUACAACCUCCGCCUCCCAGGUUCAAACCAUUCUCCUGCCUCAGCCUCCUGAGUAGCGGGAUUACAGGCACGCACCACCAUGCCCUGCUAAUUUUGUAUUUUUAGUAGAGAUGGGGUUUUGCCAUGUUGGACAGGCUGGUUUCAAACUGCUGACCUCAAGUGAUCCACCCACCCUGGCCUCCCAAAGUGUUGGGAUUACAGGAGCCAGCGACCACGCCUGGCCCACAGCACCUUUGUUACUUAAAUUACACAUUACAGCAAUACAAUUAUAGAACUCUUCCUGUUCCCUGGGGGGGCUCUCUGGGUAUGCAGAUCCUACGGGUGGCGAUACCU
rnacentral:lncRNA from 1 species